rnacentral:rRNA from 1 species
GGCUCAGAACGAACGCUGGCGGCGUGGCUAAGACAUGCAAGUCGCACGGGAAAGGCUUUUUCCGAUCCUUCGGGUGAAGAAAAAGCACUCGAGUGGCGAAAGGACGAGGAACACUUGGGUAACGUACCCCCGACACAGGGAUAGCCGUGGGAAACUGCGGAUAAUACCUGAUGACAUCCGAUAACUGCGGGGUUGUCGGAUCAAAGGAUGGCCUCUACUUGUAAGCUAUCGGUCGAGGAGCGGCCCAAGUCCUAUCAGCUUGUUGGUGAGGUAAUGGCUCACCAAGGCAACGACGGGUACCGGGACUGAGAGGUUGACCCGGCGCAUUGGGACUGAGACACUGCCCAGACUCCUACGGGAGGCUGCAGUAACGAAUAUUGGACAAUGGGCGCAAGCCUGAUCCAGCGACGCCGCGUGUAGGAUGAAGUCCUUCGGGAUGUAAACUACUGUCAGGGACCACCACGCAAUACGGGUUAAUACCUCGUAACGCUGAGGAAUCCCAGAGGAAGUCACGGCUAACUUCGUGCCAGCAGCCGCGGUAAGACGAAGGUGGCAAGCGUUGUUCGGAAUCACUGGGCUUAAAGAGCAUGUAGGCGGAUGAUCAAGCGUCUUGUGAAAGCCCUCGGCUCAACCGGGGAAUUGCUUGGCGAACUGGUCAUCUUGAGGCAGGUAGGGGCAAGUGGAACUCUUGGUGGAGCGGUGGAAUGCGUAGAUAUCAAGAGGAACGCCAGAGGCGAAGGCGACUUGCUGGGCCUGUCCUGACGCUGAGAUGCGAAAGCCAGGGGAGCGAACGGGAUUAGAUACCCCGGUAGUCCUGGCCCUAAACGAUGUCCACUAG